rnacentral:rRNA from 1 species
CCUACGGGCGGCAGCAGUGAGGAAUAUUGGUCAAUGGACGAGAGUCUGAACCAGCCACGUAGCGUGAAGGAUGACUGCCCUAUGGGUUGUAAACUUCUUUUAUAUGGGAAUAAAAUGUUCCACGUGUGGGAUUUUGUAUGUACCCUAUGAAUAAGGAUCGGCUAACUCCGUGCCAGCAGCCGCGGUAAUACGGAGGAUCCGAGCGUUAUCCGGAUUUAUUGGGUUUAAAGGGAGCGUAGGUGGAUUGUUAAGUCAGUUGUGAAAGUUUGCGGCUCAACCGUAAAAUUGCAGUUGAAACUGGCAGUCUUGAGUACAGUAGAGGUGGGCGGAAUUCGUGGUGUAGCGGUGAAAUGCUUAGAUAUCACGAAGAACUCCGAUGGCGAAGGCAGUUCACUGGACUGCAACUGACACUGAGGCUCGAAAGUGUGGGUAUCAAACAGGAUUAGAUACCCUUGUAGUC